rnacentral:rRNA from 1 species
CGCGGCCUAUCAGCUUGUUGGUGAGGUAACGGCUCACCAAGGCAUCGACGGGUAGCUGGUCUGAGAGGACGAUCAGCCACACUGGGACUGAGACACGGCCCAGACUCCUACGGGAGGCAGCAGUGGGGAAUAUUGCGCAAUGGGCGAAAGCCUGACGCAGCAACGCCGCGUGGGGGAUGACGGCCUUCGGGUUGUAAACCCCUUUCAGCAGGGACGAAAAUGACGGUACCUGCAGAAGAAGCCCCGGCCAACUACGUGCCAGCAGCCGCGGUGACACGUAGGGGGCGAGCGUUGUCCGGAAUUAUUGGGCGUAAAGAGCUCGUAGGCGGUUUAGUAAGUCAGAUGUGAAAGGUUGGGGCUCAACCCUAAGACUGCAUCCGAUACUGCUAUGACUAGAGUCCGGUAGAGGAGUGUGGAAUUCCUGGUGUAGCGGUGAAAUGCGCAGAUAUCAGGAGGAACACCAGCGGCGAAGGCGGCACUCUGGGCCGGUACUGACGCUGAGGAGCGAAAGCAUGGGGAGCAAACAGGAUUAGAUACCCUGGUAGUCCAUGCCGUAAACGUUGGGCACUAGGUAUGGGAUCAUAUCAACGGAUUCCGUGCCGUAGCUAACGCAUUAAGUGCCCCGCCUGGGGAGUACGG